GAUGAACGCUGGCGGCGUGCCUAAUACAUGCAAGUCGAGCGAACGGACGAGAAGCUUGCUUUUCUGAUGUUAGCGGCGGACGGGUGAGUAACACGUGGAUAACCUACCUAUAAGACUGGGAUAACUUCGGGAAACCGGAGCUAAUACCGGAUAAUAUUUUGAACCGCAGGGUUCAAAAGUGAAAGACGGUCUUGCUGUCACUUAUAGAGGGAUCCGCGCUGCAUUAGCUAGUUGGUAAGGUAACGGCUUACCAAGGCAACGAUGCAUAGCCGACCUGAGAGGGUGAUCGGCCACACUGGAACUGAGACACGGUCCAGACUCCUACGGGAGGCAGCAGUAGGGAAUCUUCCGCAAUGGGCGAAAGCCUGACGGAGCAACGCCGCGUGAGUGAUGAAGGUCUUCGGAUCGUAAAACUCUGUUAUUAGGGAAGAACAUAUGUGUAAGUAACUGUGCACAUCUUGACGGUACCUAAUCAGAAAGCCACGGCUAACUACGUG
rnacentral:rRNA from 1 species